GGCACUAGUGGACUGCAGUACAGGAACACUAAGGGGAGAGGGGAAGCAGCCCAAGCAAGGGGCCUUCAGUCAACGCCCAGGCAUGCUCUGGGCAACAAGGGCCACCAGAGGCUCAAGCAAGGAGUCAGGACAGGGAAUGGAGAGCCAAGGGCUGGGGCUGGGGCAGGGAGCUCAGGACAGUGGACAAGACUUGGGUGGGAAGGCAGGGGAUCCAACAGGGGCAGUCAGG
rnacentral:lncRNA from 1 species